UACAUAAUAUUAGGUACUUAUAUUAUGUUGUAGGUGUUAGCUUUAUCAUUGAUCAUAAAUUAAUAUUUGAAGCUGAUUUGACUAAAAUAUAGAAAAUGUAAAGUCUUGAUUUGACUCAAAUUUAAAUGUAGAAAAUAUAAAUUUUUUUUAAAGCUUUU